CCCUCACCCUCUCACCCGCACUUCUCCUCUCGUCCCACAGCCGCCACCCCCAACCCUCUCGCUCCUCCUCCGUCUCAAUCUCUCGAUCCCCAACCACCGCCGCCACCGUCCUCCGCCUCUCCCCCAACCCCAGUCGUCGGCGACCCCUCCCCUUCCCUUCUCUCCCACGGCCGCGGUCGGAUCCGCGCUCCCUCCUCGCUCGUGACCUGGACCUAGCCGCAUGGCACGGCCAUGGCCAUGGCAGCGGCCAGAUCCACCCCCUCCCCUGCUCCGUUCCCUCGACACCCGGUGGUCAUUCUCCCUUAUGCCACCCGCCCCCCUUCUUCCUCCCGCGGCAGCUCACCCGCAGCCUUCCCCGUGGCUCUAGGGUUUUGGGGGCGGCGGCGCCUCCAUUGCCGGUAUGGCUCCGGCGACUCUACAGGCUCCUCCCCGACAUCUACUGCGCUGAGACAGCCGCGUCUCUGACUUGCCGCUUCCCCAGUGGCUGCUACUGGACCCGAUCCCUCCUCGUUGCCUGUAUGCUUCCUCGACUCUCCCUCCUCCCCAACAAGGCCGCCGUCGGACACCUUCUUCCCCGACAGCGCCGACGGAGAUCCACUCCUCCAUUUUCUUCUCACGGUUGUCCGCAGCAUAUAUGACUCAGAUCUGACAUUUUUGUUGUGUGUCUGGUUUUUCAGGAUGUGGGUGGUGCAGUGGCUGCAAGAACACGCUCGGCAGCGUCUAGGCCGGGUCGACUAGGGCGGCCGACAGCGGUGGCUACUUCCUUACAAGGACUGCAAGCUCGCCCACGACUACACGACCCUCCAGGUCCCGUCUGCAUGCCCGCUCCCUCCUCCCUGCCUCCUCAAGGUGGGGUUACCCAAUGUUGGCAAAUCAACUUUCUUUAACAUAGUAACAAAGGUGGGCUCCCGCGCCGGCAACUCCAGCUUGCGGUGAAGAAGAGAAAGGCUGAGAAGGACCCCUACGAGCCCACGCGCCCCAAGCGCUUUCUUCAUCUUCAUGGACAACUUUAGGAAGGAGUACAAGGAGAAGCACCCCGACGUCAAGCAGGUCUCCAUGAUUGGCAAGGCUGGUGGUGAGAAGUUGAAGUCCAUGAGUGAUGUUCAGGUGCUCUGCUCUUGCACACGUCUGGCACCGUCUCCGGCGCGGUGGUCCUUCUUGAGGAGACCGGCAUGAUGGCGGCUGUGUACAUGAAGCCCUCCGGUGAGUCGGCUCCAUCUUCUAGCCCUAGCUCCCACUUUUAUGCUCCUAUAGCAUGCUCUGUUGGUUUAGAACACUAGCAGCAGUAGCCUACCAUGUAUGCGUACUAAACAGCAGGGGUUCAAUCGCCCUGUGUACACUAGCAGCUUGCUUACACAGUUGUCACUUUUGCUUGUGGUAGCUUGAUACGUCUCCAACGUAUCUAUAAUUUAUGAAGUAUUCAUGCUAUUACAUUAUCCAUCUUAGAUGUUUUAUAUGCAUUUAUAUGCUAUUUUAUAUGAUUUUUGGGACUAACCUAUUAACCUAGAGCCCAGUGCCAGUUCCUGUUUUUUUCUUGUUUUUGAGUUUUACAGAAAAGGAAUAUCAAACGGAUUCCAAUUGACGUGCCAAUUUUUGACGAUUUUUUAUGGACCAAAAGAAGACCCCGG